rnacentral:lncRNA from 1 species
GAGGGGUAUGGAGGGGCCUAAGCUCCAACAGUAAUUUAUUGAAACAUUAAAAAGAGGUCUCAGAGAAUACAAAACAGCAGGGGAGAGGGAAAGAAGAGGGCAACAAGCUUAAGAAACAAAAAUGAAACUAAGAAAAUCAUCUGAUGGCAACUGCUUAUUCCAGACUUUGUAUCCAUGAAGAGAACUGCUCAGCUUGCCUUGACUUCACUUUGUGUCGACAAAGUCUUAACUCUGUGAAGAAAAAGUGUUUUGACAGUCCAACAAAUUCAUUCUGAACCCCCUUUGAAAAUAAGAGCAUUUGUUGCUGUCCAGAUUGUCCACCACAAAAGUAUUAUGGCUUCCAUGAAAAGUUCUGUAUCCAUCAGCAAGCUUGAAAGACUACGGAGUAUAUGUGGCUGUGCAAACAGACUGACCAAUCGAUGGCCGCACACAACUGCGGCAAGUCCCAUUCUUAGCCACUGCAGCAUCCAGGGACAUGCCUUUUAUCUCUCAAUCUUCGUUGCAGCUAAAACUCUGGAUGCAUCCCACUCCCAUGAUGACUAUAUGCAUAUGCAAUUUUGCAACUUGAAGUGUUAUGCCACGAAACACAUUGCUGAGAUGUAUCACUGAUUGAUGCAACAGAUGCAGCACAGACACAAUUUAUAUUCAGCAUGCAGUUCCAAAGGGCCGCAAAGGCACUCUGGCUCAUAUAAGUGUUUCGAUCACCAAGCAAAUAUUGAAUUUUGAUGGUAGAAGUACACAUUAAAGCUAAUCAAUAAGCAGGCAUGCGUGUAUCCAGUUUUCAUUGCAUGUCCAUACUUGGGCCCUUGGACAGCCACGUAGCACAAUGAUGACAUUUGUAUGGAAAGGUUAGAAUUUGAAUAUGAAGGUGUGAAAUAUGGGUUUCUUUCAGAGAAAUAUGAAGUUCAUGAAACCUCUCUCUCGAUAAUUUAGUGGCUAGAAAGCUGUCAUGAAACCUCUCUCUCGAUAAUUUAGUGGCUAGAAAGUAUUCCUCCUUUAGGAAAUGUGCUCCUGCGUACCAAUCUUCCUCCUUGUGGUAAUUGGCUUCUCAUUCAUGCGUGGAGCCAUUAUAUGAUAACAUGUAUGAGUUGAUGGGGAAUGGGCACCGUAGUAGGCAGUUUUCCUUCUAAUAUUGAGCAACAUACAUAAGGACAGCCUUCAAAGCUCAGAGCCUCCACUAUCAAUCUGAAUCCUUCGAUCCAUGUUGCUUCUUUGAUAUAGCCUCAAAUUUCUUGAUUCUCACCGGUGCACAAUCAAAGCUUUGCAAUUAUGAUAACCUCCAGUGUCCAUCUUGGAUUCCGAACGCCUCCAAUUUCAAUUUCUACAAAUUUGAGUACCUCUCUACAUAGUUGUCUGAAGCUAGCUUGGGCCAUUCUUGCAUACCUUGUCUUUUGUGUGCUAGCCAGGUAAUGCCUAUGCACCCCCUUUGCUUAUCAUUUUCUCUAUUUAUUUGGCUAUCUCAUAUGCAGCAGUGCGCCAUGUGGAUCCUUAUUUACAGAUGGAACCACCUAAUUUGAUACCCAUGUAGCAUGGGGAAGAACCACAAUAUAUUUGAUAAUUAACGAGGCAUGUGUAGGGUUGAAGAGAAUAAAUGUUGACUGAAUUUUCCAUUUAUGUUUAAAUCAUCAAAGAGUAUUCUCAAUGAUCUGGUCUGUGGUGCAAGGGUUCAAAAUUUCGGCGAAAUUUUGCUGAAAUUUCACGAAUUUCGGUAAUUUCGGUGGUGGCGAAAGAAAAAUCCAAAAUUUCAUUAUAUACUAAUACAUGUGCCAUAUAACUUUAGACUCAUAUUUUCUAUUGUUUAUAUUGCAUAUUCUUCUAUUCAAUAGAUGUGUAAUCAUAAAUCAUACUUAUACUUGUUU